rnacentral:rRNA from 1 species
UAACGCGAAGAACCUUACCAGGUCUUGACAUCCUUUGACCACUCUAGAGAUAGAGCUUUCCCUUCGGGGACAAAGUGACAGGUGGUGCAUGGUUGUCGUCAGCUCGUGUCGUGAGAUGUUGGGUUAAGUCCCGCAACGAGCGCAACCCUUAUUACUAGUUGCCAGCAUUUAGUUGGGCACUCUAGUGAGACUGCCGGUGACAAACCGGAGGAAGGUGGGGACGACGUCAAAUCAUCAUGCCCCUUAUGACCUGGGCUACACACGUGCUACAAUGGAUGGUACAACGAGUUGCGAGACCGCGAGGUUUAGCUAAUCUCUUAAAACCAUUCUCAGUUCGGAUUGUAGGCUGCAACUCGCCUACAUGAAGCCGGAAUCGCCAGUAAUCGCGGAUCAGCAUGCCGCGGUGAAUACGUUCCCGGGCCUUGUACACACCG